UACUGAGUUACCGCUCUACAACCCUUUGUGAACAUACCUAACCGUUGCUUCGGCGGGCAGGGGAAGCCUCUCGCGGGCCUCCCCUCCCGGCGCCGGCCCCACCACGGGGACGGGGCGCCCGCCGGAGGAAACCAAACUCUAUUUACACGACGUCUCUUCUGAGUGGCACAAGCAAAUAAUUAAAACUUUUAACAACGGAUCUCUUGGUUCUGGCAUCGAUGAAGAACGCAGCGAAAUGCGAUAAGUAAUGUGAAUUGCAGAAUUCAGUGAAUCAUCGAAUCUUUGAACGCACAUUGCGCUCGCCAGCAUUCUGGCGAGCAUGCCUGUUCGAGCGUCAUUUCAACCCUCAAGCACCGCUUGGUUUUGGGGCCCCACGGCAGACGUGGGCCCUUAAAGGUAGUGGCGGACCCUCCCGGAGCCUCCUUUGCGUAGUAACUAACGUCUCGCACUGGGAUCCGGAGGGACUCUUGCCGUAAAACCCCCAAAUUCUUUACAGGUUGACCUCGGAUCAGGUAGGAAUACCCGCUGAACUUAAGCAUAUCAAUAAGCGGAGGAA
rnacentral:rRNA from 1 species